rnacentral:lncRNA from 1 species
UGCCUACUCAAGGUGAAGGCACAUCAAUCUUACAGCUAGUGAAAAUGAUCAAAGUUUUCUUCAUGAAAUUAGCCCAAUUCAGUACAAUAUUGCACGAAAAUUUGCUUUCACAGCUUUGGGAGGAGGGUGAAAGUGAGUCAUCAGGUGAGUGAGUCAUCAGUAGCCAAUGACUUGGAUCAUGUAAGCCAAAGAAGAUAGCAAGAUUCUACAGAUGGAGAAGUACAAAAUAAAGACCUUGAUUCAGAAGAGGAAGAAAACAGUAAUGUAAAUCAAUAUCUGACUGCUUAAAAUGCUACAAAAUGGUCAUGUAUAUCCGAACAAGCAGAAAAUGUUAUUAAGUUCUUGCCAGGGAUGAAACCUAAUG